rnacentral:misc_RNA from 1 species
GAUGAAGAACGUAGCGAAAUGCGAUAAGUAGUGUGAAUUGCAGAAUUCAGUGAAUCAUCGAAUCUUUGAACGCACAUUGCGCCCCUUGGUAUUCCAUGGGGCAUGCCUGUUCGAGCGUCAUUUGUACCUUCAAGCUCUGCUUGGUGUUGGGUGUUUGUCUCGCCUCUGCGUGUAGACUCGCCUCAAAACAAUUGGUAGCCGGCGUAUUGAUUUCGGAGCGCAGUACAUCUCGCGCUUUGCACUCAUAACGACGACGUCCAAAAGUACAUUUUUACACUCUUGACCUCGGAUCAGGUAGGGAUACCCGCUGAACUUAAGCAUAUCAAAGCGGAGGA